rnacentral:lncRNA from 1 species
GAGUUGAGUUGUACGAUUUAGUAAAUUAUUUAGUGUAUGAAAUGAAAUGCUAUAAAAUUUAUACUGUCUUACACAAAACAAAUGAUUAAUUACAGAAGGUUUCAUACAAAUACAUUUAAUAAGAAUUAUAACUGGUCUUAAAUUGUUUCCCCUCCCCUCUAUUAAACAUGGUACAUUCCACAACUGGGUGGUAAAAUUUGAAAGCUAACGGAACGGUCUUCAUCGACAUCUCUCUCGCUCGCUGCUCCCUUUGUUGUCGUGGUGUCCUCCUUUUGUUCAGUAAUAAUUGGAGUAAUAAUCGCAAACUGAUUUUAUUGAAAUGGUUAAUACCUGUAGCAAUGUCAUGUACUAGUUAAAUGGAUUGAAUAAGGAUUUUGGACGUUCGUCUGCUAAAACUCAGCCUAGGAUAGCCGCUAGGCCUAGGCCUAUUAUUAUUGCCAUUGGGAAAAAAGGAGAAGAGUCCGCACCAUGCCAAGGUCUAUGCACAGUCAGUAUUAUUGACAUUGGCCAUGGUUUACUUAUAGAAAAGGAUCCAUGAUAUGGAAGAAAAGCAAUGUACAUGUGGAACAUCGGUAGAGAAAGAGCGUUUGAAUCCCAUCUGAAUUACUGCCAUAACAGAUUUCACUGAUAAGAAGUAACCUGAGGCAUCAACCACUCUUUUGAGGCAGUCUCUGUCAAACAGAAUAAAGAAAAUGAACAAGCCUAAAAAUUGGGAAUACCAUGUAUGCAUUUUUGUUUUUAAAUUUUGUUAUUUAACUUCAAUUCCAAACUUCGUUCUAGUGAUAUUAGAUUUGUGGUAGUAUUUUAUUAUAUUUGAUGUUUCAGUGUGUAGGCCGUCUUAAAGUUAGGCUCAGAAAAGUCGUUUUUUUUGUUUGUUUGUUUUUUUUUUCAUGUUGUAGAACUGAUUUUAUUAAAACCCAAAAAGAAUAUUUGAUGAAAAACUUUGAAGCGGUUAAUGAGAUUC